rnacentral:rRNA from 1 species
GAUGAACGCUGGCGGCGUGCCUAAUACAUGCAAGUCGAGCGAACAGACGAGGAGCUUGCUCCUCUGACGUUAGCGGCGGACGGGUGAGUAACACGUGGAUAACCUACCUAUAAGACUGGGAUAACUUCGGGAAACCGGAGCUAAUACCGGAUAACAUGUUGAACCGCAUGGUUCAACAGUGAAAGACGGUCUUGCUGUCACUUAUAGAUGGAUCCGCGCCGCAUUAGCUAGUUGGUAAGGUAACGGCUUACCAAGGCAACGAUGCGUAGCCGACCUGAGAGGGUGAUCGGCCACACUGGAACUGAGACACGGUCCAGACUCCUACGGGAGGCAGCAGUAGGGAAUCUUCCGCAAUGGGCGAAAGCCUGACGGAGCAACGCCGCGUGAGUGAAGAAGGUCUUCGGAUCGUAAAACUCUGUUAUUAGGGAAGAACAAAUGUGUAAGUAACUAUGCACGUCUUGACGAUACCUAAUCAGAAAGCCACGGCUAACUACGUG